rnacentral:lncRNA from 1 species
AUUCCUCAAGCAAGAUUAUUUCCACAUUUCCCUUGACCUCUUCAACGACACUGAAGUACAAAGAUCUCGAUUGCUGAAUAUCAGUGAUAUAAGAUAGGGAUACUUCCUGCAAACCAUUUGAUGAUACUCCAAAGGAGAACGCUGUUUGGAUCCCUAGAUUUCAUGCUGGAAACUCUGAACCUUCCUACCCUUAAGAUCAGAGAAAAUAUUUUAAGAAAAAUGGAAAAAAGAAAAAA